rnacentral:rRNA from 1 species
UACAGAGGUCUCAAGCGUUGUUCGGAUUCAUUGGGCGUAAAGGGUGCGUAGGCGGCGCGGUAAGUCGGGUGUGAAAUCUCGGGGCUUAACUCCGAAACUGCAUUCGAUACUGCCGUGCUUGAGGACUGGAGAGGAGACUGGAAUUUACGGUGUAGCGGUGAAAAUGCGUAGAUAUCGUAAGGAAGACCAGUGGCGAAGGCGGGGUCUCUGGACAGUUCCUGACGCUGAGGCACGAAAGGCCAGGGGGAGCAAAACGGGG